rnacentral:rRNA from 1 species
GACGAACGCUGGCGGCGUGCUUAACACAUGCAAGUCGAACGGUGACGAAUGGAGCUUGCUCUGUUCUGAUCAGUGGCGAACGGGUGAGUAACACGUGAGUAACCUGCCCCUGACUCUGGAAUAACUUCGGGAAACCGAAGCUAAUACCGGAUAUGACACAGAGCCGCAUGGUUUCUGUGUGGAAAGUUUUUCGGUUGGGGAUGGACUCGCGGCCUAUCAGCUUGUUGGUGAGGUAAUGGCUCACCAAGGCGACGACGGGUAGCCGGCCUGAGAGGGCGACCGGCCACACUGGGACUGAGACACGGCCCAGACUCCUACGGGAGGCAGCAGUGGGGAAUAUUGCACAAUGGGCGAAAGCCUGAUGCAGCGACGCCGCGUGAGGGAUGAAGGCCUUCGGGUUGUAAACCUCUUUCAGUAGGGAAGAAGCGCAAGUGACGGUACCUACAGAAGAAGCACCGGCUAACUACGUGCCAGCAGCCGCGGUAAGGCUACGUAGA